rnacentral:rRNA from 1 species
CCCCGGUAAACGGCGGCCGUAACUAUAACGGUCCUAAGGUAGCGAAAUUCCUUGUCGGGUAAGUUCCGACCUGCACGAAUGGCGUAAUGAUGGCCAGGCUGUCUCCACCCGAGACUCAGUGAAAUUGAACUCGCUGUGAAGAUGCAGUGUACCCGCGGCAAGACGGAAAGACCCCGUGAACCUUUACUAUAGCUUGACACUGAACAUUGAGCCUUGAUGUGUAGGAUAGGUGGGAGGCUUUGAAGUGUGGACGCCAGUCUGCAUGGAGCCGACCUUGAAAUACCACCCUUUAAUGUUUGAUGUUCUAACGUGGACCCGUAAUCCGGGUUGCGGACAGUGUCUGGUGGGUAGUUUGACUGGGGCGGUCUCCUCCUAAAGAGUAACGGAGGAGCACGAAGGUUGGCUAAUCCUGGUCGGACAUCAGGAGGUUAGUGCAAUGGCAUAAGCCAGCUUGACUGCGA